UAAUACGGAGGGUGCAAGCGUUAAUCGGAAUUACUGGGCGUAAAGCGUGCGUAGGCGGUUUAUUAAGUCAGAUGUGAAAGCCCCGGGCUUAACCUGGGAACUGCAUUUGAAACUGGUCAACUAGAGUAUGGUAGAGGAAAGUGGAAUUUCUGGUGUAGCGGUGAAAUGCGUAGAUAUCAGAAGGAACAUCAAUGGCGAAGGCAGCUUUCUGGACCAAUACUGACGCUGAGGUACGAAAGCGUGGGUAGCAAACAGGAUUAGAUACCCUGGUAGUCCACGCCGUAAACGAUGAUAACUAGCCGUUGGGGGGAUUUACCCUUUAGUGGCGAAGCUAACGCGUUAAGUUAUCCGCCUGGGGAGUACGGCCGCAAGGUUA
rnacentral:rRNA from 1 species